rnacentral:rRNA from 1 species
CCGACGGGGUGCAGCAGUGGGGAAUAUUGGACAAUGGGCGAAAGCCUGAUCCAGCCAUGCCGCGUGUGUGAAGAAGGCCUUCGGGUUGUAAAGCACUUUCAGUGGGGAAGAAAGCCUUGGGGCUAAUACCCUCGAGGAAGGACAUCACCCACAGAAGAAGCACCGGCUAACUCCGUGCCAGCAGCCGCGGUAAUACGGAGGGUGCGAGCGUUAAUCGGAAUUACUGGGCGUAAAGCGCGCGUAGGCGGUCUGAUAAGCCGGUUGUGAAAGCCCCGGGCUCAACCUGGGAACGGCAUCCGGAACUGUCAGGCUAGAGUGCAGGAGAGGAAGGUAGAAUUCCCGGUGUAGCGGUGAAAUGCGUAGAGAUCGGGAGGAAUACCAGUGGCGAAGGCGGCCUUCUGGACUGACACUGACGCUGAGGUGCGAAAGCGUGGGUAGCAAACAGGAUUAGAUACCCCUGUAGUC